AGUGGCGGACGGGUGAGUAACGCGUGAGAAUCUGCCUUGGGGUCGGGGACAACCGCUGGAAACGGUGGCUAAUACCGGAUAAGCCGAUUGGUGAAAGAUUUAUUGCCCGAAGAGGAGCUCGCGUCUGAUUAGCUAGUUGGUGAGGUAAGAGCUCACCAAGGCAGCGAUCAGUAGCUGGUCUGAGAGGACGAUCAGCCACACUGGGACUGAGACACGGCCCAGACUCCUACGGGAGGCAGCAGUGGGGAAUUUUCCGCAAUGGGCGAAAGCCUGACGGAGCAAGACCGCGUGAGGGAGGAAGGCUCUUGGGUUGUAAACCUCUUUUCUCAGGGAAGAAGCUCUGACGGUACCUGAGGAAUCAGCCUCGGCUAACUCCGUGCCAGCAGCCGCGGUAAUACGGAGGAGGCAAGCGUUAUCCGGAAUUAUUGGGCGUAAAGCGUCCGCAGGUGGCGAUUCAAGUCUGCUGUCAAAGCACGGGGCUUAACUCCGUAAAGGCAGUGGAAACUGAAUAGCUAGAGUGCCGUAGGGGUAGAGGGAAUUCCCGGUGUAGCGGUGAAAUGCGUAGAGAUCGGGAAGAACAUCGGUGGCGAAAGCGCUCUACUGGACGGCAACUGACACUCAGGGACGAAAGCUAGGGGAGCGAAUGGGAUUAGAUACCCC
rnacentral:rRNA from 1 species